CCAAUAGCGUAUAUUAAAGUUGUUGCAGUUAAAAAGCUCGUAGUUGAACUUCGGGGUCUACCCAUUGGUCAGGCUUAAUUGUCUGCACUGGUGAGAUGGAUCUCUACCUUCUGAGGAACUUUCAUGCCAUUUAUUUAGUGUGAUUGGAAAUCAGGACUGUUACUUUGAAAAAAUUAGAGUGUUUAAAGCAGACUAUCGUCUGAAUACAUUAGCAUGGCAUAAUGACAUAGGACGGACUGAUUCUAUUUCGUUGGUUUCUAGGAUCACCGUAAUGAUUAAUAGUGAUAGUUGGGGGCAUUAGUAUUCAAUUGUCAGAGGUGAAAUUCUUGGGUUUAUUGAAGACUAACUACUGCGAAAGCAUUUGCCAAGGAUGUUUUCAUUAAUCAAGAACGAAAGUUAGGGGAUCGAAGACGAUCAGAUACCGUCGUAGUCUUAACCAUAAACUAUGCCGACUAGGGAUCGGAUGAUGUUAAUUUUUUAAUGACUCAUUCGGCGCCUUACG
rnacentral:rRNA from 1 species